UACCGUGUGUUACCAUCAUUAAGUUGGGGACUCGCACGGAACUGCCGGUGAUAACCGGAGGAAGGUGGGGAUGACGUCAAAUCCUCAUGGCCUUUAUGACCUGGGCUACACACGUGCUACAAUGGAUGGUACAGAGAGCAGCGAGGCAGCGAUGUGGAGCGAAUCUCAAAAAGCCAUUCUCAGUUCGGAUUGGAGUCUGCAACUCGACUCCAUGAAGUCGGAAUCGCUAGUAAUCGCGAAUCAGCAUGUCGCCGGUGAACUGCGUUCCGGGCCUU
rnacentral:rRNA from 1 species